rnacentral:lncRNA from 1 species
ACUUCUUGUUGGCUGGCCAUAGUGGUGUCUGUGCCAUUGCGAACACUUCUUGCUGUACUUAGAUUAAUGAGACAGGCAACGUAGAACAGACAAUACAUUGCAUUAAGGAAAAAACUGUUUGGCUUUUUAAGGUUGUUCCUCGUGGCCAAUGGGAUUCAUUUACUUGGCCUGGGUUGGGCAGUUGGGGUUCCUGGUUCUGAGGCAUCUUAUAGGGACUAUUAAUUAUUCUUGUUUUUGUCAGUGGUCAUCAUGCUGGUCCCUUGAAUUUUAUCCAGAAUCUUAAAUCCUACUGCUCAGCCUCUCUGAUUAUCUUAACAGAUAAUCACUGUGAUGAUACAACAACAAAAAGCUCAAGAUGAUCUUGCAAUACGGUUGACCAUGGAGACAACUGAACAAUCCCCCAACAGUGAAGAUCUGGAGCUGUAGGCUUUCCUGAAUUGGUCAACCUCUUGCAAGUGGAAGGAUGACCGAGAAAGGGACUAAGAGACUGAAUAUACAGAUGGACAGAGGCCAGCCCAUAUAUGACAAUAGAAUGCUGACUCGCAACCUCUGCAGCAACCAGUUCAGGAGGUAAAAGCACAACCUCUCUAGCAAUUGGCCCAGAACAGUUAGCGCUUUGUUAAUAAUUGCCAACUUUUCUAUUUUUUGCCCCAGCUUCCAACUCAGGACCAAUCAGAGAACGCCAAAUGUGCUUUCCAAACCAAUUGCAUAAGAUGCUCCACUUCUAGUUAGCCUGCAUUUGGAUUUCCUACGCCAACAACCCCCAUCAGAGCAUACCUAAGGCCUUCCUUUUUUCUUUUAUUAUAAAGCUUUCCUACUCCCCUGCCUGCCUUUGACUCUACCAAACUCAAGUGGUGGUGGCUUUCUUAUAUGCAUGGUCUUCAUUUAUUUCCACAGCCCAUCUGGAAUUCUGGAAGGAGGCAGCCUCUUGUGGCUCCCAUCUGGCAACAUAGAGCAACUGCUGCCAAAUAGGAAUGGAAUUGUGGCAGAUUUAAGCUACACCAAGAUUUCUUGCCCCAGCCUGUGA